rnacentral:rRNA from 1 species
GUGGGGAAUAUUGCGCAAUGGGCGAAAGCCUGACGCAGCGACGCCGCGUGAGGGAUGAAGGUUUUCGGAUCGUAAACCUCUGUCAGAAGGGAAGAAACUACGUUGUGCUAAUCAGCAGCGUACUGACGGUACCUUCAAAGGAAGCACCGGCUAACUCCGUGCCAGCAGCCGCGGUAAUACGGAGGGUGCAAGCGUUAAUCGGAAUUACUGGGCGUAAAGCGCACGUAGGCUGUAGUGUAAGUCAGGGGUGAAAUCCCACGGCUCAACCGUGGAACUGCCUUUGAUACUGCACAACUUGAAUCCGGGAGAGGGUGGCGGAAUUCCAGGUGUAGGAGUGAAAUCCGUAGAUAUCUGGAGGAACAUCAGUGGCGAAGGCGGCCACCUGGACCGGUAUUGACGCUGAGGUGCGAAAGCCAGGGGAGCAAACGGGAUUAGAAACCCUAGUAGUCC